rnacentral:rRNA from 1 species
UACGGAGGAUCCGAGCGUUAUCCGGAUUUAUUGGGUUUAAAGGGUGCGUAGGCGGAAAGAUAAGUCAGCCUGUGAAAGUUUGCGGCUCAACCGUAAAAUUGCAGUUGAUACUGUUUUUCUUGAGUGUACAUAAGGUAGGCGGAAUUCGUGGUGUAGCGGUGAAAUGCUUAGAUAUCACGAAGAACUCCGAUUGCGAAGGCAGCUUACCGGGGUACAACUGACGCUGAUGCACGAAAGUGUGGGUAUCAAA